rnacentral:lncRNA from 1 species
AAAUUGAUCUCGGGGAAUUAUCGUAACUGCUGUAUUGAUCAUUAACCUGGUUCUUGUAAAAUUCGUUAAGAGUUGAUUUAGGUUUUCACCAAUACGUAUUCCAUUCUGUUAAACUACCAAGAAUACUCCCAACUACACCCUUACAAUCAAACAAACUAUAAAAUCAUCAGAAGAUCCAGAAUAAUAAAGUGCAUGCUUAAUUAUCGGAAGAAGUAGAAUCAGGAAGUUUGUUAAUUCAAUCCUGCAUGCUGAUUGUAAUUACAAUAGAUUGGAGCAAGGAUUGGAUCCGACACUAAAGGACUUCAAGAAGUGGCUUAUUUUAUUAAUUAAAUCAAUUAAGAAAUAUUGUUUUUAUUAAAAGCUACCUUUGUAAAACAUGGAAUUUAUUCCAUCUUUUUAAAUAAAAUCCGGUGUUUCUAAACUCUGAUAUUUUUCCUAACUCACGGUCCUGAUGAAAUUUCCGCUGCAAU